GCUGGGCAUGGUGAUGCAUGCCUGUAAUCCCAGCUACUCGGGAGGCUGAGGCAGGAGAAUCGCUUGAACCUGGGAGGCAGAGGUUGCAGUGAGCCGAGAUCGCACCACUGCACUCCAGCCUGGGUGACAGAGUGAGAGUCUGUCUCAA
rnacentral:SRP_RNA from 2 species